UACGUAGGGUGCAAGCGUUAUCCGGAAUUAUUGGGCGUAAAGAGCUCGUAGGCGGUUCGUCGUCGUGUCGCUGUGAAAUCCCGAGGCUCAACCUCGGGCUUGCAGUGGGUACGGGCAGGCUAGAGUGCGGUAGGGGAGAAUGGAACUCCUGGUGUAGCGGUGAAAUGCGUAGAGAUCGGGAGGAACACCAGUGGCGAAGGCGGCCUUCUGGACCAGCACUGACACUCAAGCACGAAAGCGUGGGGAGCAAACAGG
rnacentral:rRNA from 1 species